rnacentral:rRNA from 1 species
UACGGGGGGUGCGAGCGUUGUCCGGAAUCACUGGGCGUAAAGGGUGCGUAGGCGGUUGUUUAAGUUUGGUGUGAAAUCUCCCGGCUCAACUGGGAGGGUGCGCCGAAUACUGAAUGACUAGAGUGCGGGAGAGGAGAGUGGAAUCCCUGGUGUAGCGGUGAAAUGCGUAGAUAUCAGGAGGAACACCGGUGGUGUAGACGGCUCUCUGGACCGUAACUGACGCUGAGGCACGAAAGCGUGGGUAGCAAACAGG